GAGAGACUCAGCUGAGCACUGGUUCACAUUCAAGACUCAGAUCAUACAAGGUCAUGUCUUUCAAAGUGUGACAAGUGAGAGAUAUUCUGGAAGUCCUGGAGUCAGGCUGUCUGUCACAGGCCCGAAGGCAAAUGUUCCAACAACAGUGACAGAGGGACAGAGAAUGGCAUUGACCUGAAGCACCACCAGUACUCUGACUGACAACCCCAACCCCACCUACAUCUGGUACAAGAACGGACAAUGUCUCACCAACCCAAAUACCAAAAUAACUACCUGUACCUAGACCCCGUCAGCAGUGAGGAUACAGACAGAUACUCCUGUGCUGUAAACGGCCAUGAGGAUCUCCUCUCUCCUGUAGAGACUCUCACUAUGUGGCCUUUUGGGUGUAUAUUGUGGCUCCCCCUUCUCUCUCUCUCUCUCUCUCUCUCCCACGUCAGGUUUUACAACUGUCAUAAAUACCUGGGAGAAACUGCCAUGCAGUAUUGAGGGAGAGAGUCUACCAGAGCAAAGAGCUUCUCUUUGUUCAAAACUCCUAAUCCCCAAAAUGGGAGAACUAAACAAUUUCUAUUUUUGAGAAUGUGGGAAUGGUCCGUGGACAUUUAAAGAACAAUCCUGUCAAAGUUGUUUGACACACAACUAUAUCUCUUAAUGUGUACAUUUCCCAGCUGUCAGGCUUACAUAUAAAUAUUGUGAAACGUAUGUGAUUAAACAUGAAACUAUUUGUGAAAA